GCGGGCGGCGGGCGCGGGGGUUUUCCUGUGGGAUAGGAGAAUCCUGGAAUUACGAGGGUAAUUAAAGAUCAUCUAGCCUGAACCCCACUGCUAUGGGUAGGGACCCCUAGCAGUAGACCAGGUUGCUCAAAGCUCCAGCCAGCCUGGCCUUGAACAAUGCUAGGGGUGGGGCAUCCACAGGUUCUCUGGACAACCUGUUCCAGUGUCUCACCGUCCUCACAGUUAAGAAUUUCUUCCUGAUGUCUAACAUAAAGUUCCCCUCUUUCAGUUUGUACCCAUUACUCCUUGUCCUAUCACAACACGGAUAGAUGCAGAGUCUCUGCAGUUUCCCUGUCAGCCCCUUCACACACUGGAAGGUUGCCAUGAGGUCUCCACGAAACCAUCUCUUCUCCAGGCUGAACAGCCCCAACUUGCUCAGCAUUCAUAGGGGAGAUGCUCUAGUCUGGACUUGCUUCAAAACUUUCAUGUCCUCCUUACGCUGGGCACACCAUCAUUGUACACAGUACUAUGUGUGGGAUCUCACCAGAGCAGAGUAGAGGGGGAGAUCACCUCCCUAACGCUGCUGGCCACACUGUUUUUGAUGCAGCCCAGGACUCCAUUGGUUUUCUGGGCUGUGAGUGCACGCUGCUGUCUCAUGUUGAGUUUUUCACCCGCCAUCACACCUAAGUCUUUCUCCGCAGAGUGGCUCUCAGUCACUUCUCCGCCUAACAUGUGGGUAUGUCCAGGAUUGCCACAAUCCAGGUGAAAACUUUGUGCUUUGCUGAACUUUAUAAGAUUCACACUGGCCCACCUCUCAAGUGUGUCAGGGUCCCUCUGGAGGGCAUCCCUUCCCUCCAGGGUGUUGAAUCAUUGCGGUGUUGUGGUUUGUGACUCAGGCCCACUCUGCUUUGUGUUUUGUUACCUGUGCAGACAUGAAGGCCAUGGUGAGGUGGGUGCCAUGAGCCCACCCGCUCAGGAUGAGCCCUGGCUUGGGUUCUCACAGAGCUUUUCACCAGGCAGUGUGUCUUCCCUAGCCCCAGGCCAGUCGAGUUAUGCUUUCAAUGUCAUGUUUGAGUUCCUAGCAUGUCAUAAGGGCAGCCCUGUUUUUAAUUGAUCUUAGUGGGUACUUACUCCAGCACACUGUGGUGCCUCUUGGGUUGCUACCUGGCCUAUUGCGAAGGAAGUGUCAUGUAAUUUAAUUUGGUGCUUGAGUGCUUUCUCUCCCCACCACCCCUUCCAGUCAGAGCUUCUGCAGUAAUCACUAAAAUUGCUGUCACUCCAUCUGGUCUCCUCAGGUCUCCAGCAAGGCUCCAUGGUAGUUGGUGCCUGGGAUCGUUCAGAUGCAGUAGAAAGUAGAGUUGCUGACUUUUACUAGGUGGUCAAAUAUAAUUCUAAAAAUCCAGAAAAUAUGCAAGUAGUUGCUAUGUAAGGUGCUUUUUAUAUAAUGCUUUAAUAUAAAUUCUAUGCAUUUAUAAUAAAUUUCAAAUAUAGAAAUCUAUAAGUUUAGUAUAGAAUACAUUUUGGUUGCUAACUGCAGUGGCAGACAAGCCACCACACAACCCUGAUUUCCACAAGGGACAUGCCAGAAUGACCAGCUUCUAGGUGAUUCAUACACCUGCACACACCUGUGUGCACACGUGCAGAAAUGCACAUAUAGACACAUUUUAUGUGCCUCAGACACCACUGUACUAUUUUAAAAUAACAAUUCAAGCUCCCAGUUUUAAGGCACUGCUUCCAUGGAAGAGGAAGCUAGACUCUUCAGGUUUCAGUGACAGCAAUGCAGAGUGCCCUUUGGCAUCAUUUAUCCUCACCUCAGUCUUACAAUUGGAUGCAAGCUACAAGAGUAUUUAUAAAGGUGCUUUCAAUAACCACCUUCCCAGGGAGUGUCCAACUCAAAGUUUGAAUCUUUAAUAAUAAAUAACAUUGGAAACAAGACUAUGAAUAAGUUUGGUGAGUCAGAAAAUAGGUUAGGCAUGAAAAUGAGUUUUUGUAGUUUAUUUUGUUUACGUUAUUGCUUUCAUUUUAGGUUUUGUACUUCUCAUGAUAUCCUCCAUUUUAAAAUUAAGUAAGUGAAGAAAGGUAGAAUACUUGGAAUGCACAAUUUAUCUAACCCAUUUAAUUGGUUAAUUUAACAAAUUAUCUAACCCCUUCUAUUAGCAGUCACCUAAGAAGAGAAAUGCAAAGGUUUCUAUUUCUGUCUAUUGUCAGCUAUAAAGAGAAAGCAAGCAAGAGACAUCUGUACAGAGGUCUGUGUUUGGCCAAAUUGUUCCUAUCCUUUGUUUGUUUUAAUGUUGUCGGAGGUUGAAUUCUGUAUCAGUGCAAAAGCUAGAUGGAUAUGAAAAGUUUUCCUCUCAGUCCACUCAUCUGCCAACUCACAGAAACUGGAACAGAUUGCUCUUGAAUUUAGCAUUGUCAAAGUUCUGUGUUUGGUCUGGUCUGCUGGGCUUAUUCUAUAAAUCACGGGGAGACAUGGAUACCUCCAGGUGAUCCAACAUCUCCCCUUUGCUCCUAUGAUAGGUGCCCAAGGGACAUGGAAGUUGUCACUCUUUGUCACUCUCACAUCUCUCUUCACUUCACAUAGACCAUCCUCAAGCUUUCAUACAGAAAAUAAGGAUGUGCUGUGUGUGGACACACCCUUAACAAGCCAGAGAAAUUACGAAACAAACUCCAUCAUUAUUCACAGAGGCUGCCCAAUGGCAUGUAGCAUUUUAAAACUGCAGGAAGACUAGUAUUUAUUGAAGGGGAUAGAGGGCAUUGGGUGACAGUGUACUUUUUGUCUAGGCUGCUGUCUCAAAGUCAUGCUAUGUGCAUUCAAGAUGUGCUCCAAAUUACUGUCAAAUUGUCAUUCCACAGCCUUUGCAAAAAUCAAUUGAUGAUCUGUUUUUAUUCAACAGUUAUACACAUCUGGAGCUGACAGAUAAUUUUCAGUGAGAUAUGGCACAUGAGCACUUUAUACAUAUUUCUAUAUCCACAUCAGCAGUAAAACUAGGCAUAGAAUACAUCCCAGAAAUAGUCCACUGUGUUGAAAGGAAAUACACUGGUAAAGCAGUACAGGAAACCUUCUGUUUGUAACAUAAGAGUAAGCCUUGGCUUCUCUGUGUUAAUCAAACUUUGUAAGCACCAAAUUCAUGUCUUAACAGCAUCCUGCUUCUUCUUCAGGUUUUUCUCAUUAUUAUAACCAGUGGUAUGUCUUGCUCAUGAGGGAAAAUCUUAACUGAAGUCAGUAGGAAUAUUGUUAUUUCAAAAAUAGGCAUAGAGCAUAGAAAGGCCAUGUAAGUGGCAUGGAUAAAAAGUUAUGUCUGUGUGUAUACCAAAGGCACGUAAAGGAGUGAUAUGCCUGGUGACAUUUCAAUUACUUUUGGCUCCCAGGACAGGUGACUAGGCCUUGAGUCCACAGUCAAGUACUUCAACUCAUCCCAAGGCACCACUGUGAUAACCAAUUAAAAUGUCCAGAGGGAAACUUUCCACAGGAGGAGGUAAAGAUCCCACACAGCAGCUAUUGGUUGUGGAGGUCAAAGGCUCAUUUAUAUUCUGCACUCACAAAAUAUGUCCAGAUCCACUUUUCCAGGCAGAGUGGUUGUUGGAAAAGCAUAUGUAGCAGAGGGAUUUGUAGUGAGAACAAAGAAUCUGCUGAUGGAGGCAGUGAAGCUUACCUGAGCCUUGUGCAAACACUUAGAAGACAACUCCCACUGGAAACAGGGUAACACUUUAGUUAAGUUUGCAAACAAGGGAGGCCUGUGUUGCUAUUUCUAACAUAUUGUUUGAGAAAAUGUUUUGUAAGUAAACAAUUCAUGCAGGAAAGUAGCUGACUUUUAAGUCACCAGGUCCUGCUCCCAGCAGGGAACUUAUCUGAAUUUCGUUAUCACUUUGCAAAGCUUUGUAUAUGAAAGUGUUAAACUGAACCCUAAAAAUAAUGAAAUCAUUUUAAUCAGUGAGUUAUUUUUAAUACAACAAACUUAGCCAAGUGCUAACUGCAAAGCAGCACUGAGUGUGUAUGCAUAACACCAUUGCCACUGGUGUGAAUUGUUCUUUCUGGCUUCCUCUGCAUCCCAGGAUAUUAACCCAGCAUGGAAAACAUCUCACUGCCUUUUGGACCAGCAUUACUGCUUUUUGAUAUGUGAAAUUACAUAUAUUCUUUGAAAUGGAAGAGAAAGUAUACUAAGUCAAUGAGACUGAAAAUAUGAGCAGUUAUCCUAAAGUAUGGAAAGGAUGUGCUGACUGAAGUCUUUAUGAGAUUUUUAAUGAGGAUUAGGGAAUCUGAGAUAGCAAAAUCUACUGUAUACAAGGAGGUUGUUGUGCAAGAAUCUUCAGACAAGUUUUAGACCUGAGUCCUUUGUCAGCAACAGUAGGAUCCAGUCAGCUGUGUUCUAUGGCUACAAAAGAGUGGUUCAUCCACUGCUGCCACAUUUCACAAUGGCAUGAUCAGUCAAAUCAGAACCCAGCAGAGCUGAAGAUUUACAGAUGCUAAACAGUAAGAGGAUUCCACUGAAGGCUUAGAAACCUGGAAAACAUUGAAAACUACUGUAAAGUUCCUAUUGCUGUUCAGAUUGGAUCAAUGUUAGCAUUGUUAUCAGCAGCACUGAAUGCAGAAGCUGGAGGUGGUUCUUUGCAACUGAUGUCUUAAGCUUCUGAUAUGAUACAUCAGAUAAGCAGAAGUUUUCUUUCAGAAAGAGCAUGUACAUCCACAGAUGCAGAAAAGCUGCUUUCAGCCAUGUAAAUAUAAAUAUGCCAACAGUAAAACCAUAUGCUUACUUAGUAUCUUUCUCCAUUUCUAGGAAUACCACAUGUAUGAAAAGUAAAACUGAUGUAUCAAAAGACAGUAUAAGAAAAGGUGUCUAUAAAAGUUAAGGUUAUAGUGCUUGCUGUGUUUUAUUAAAAAGGGAGAUACGAGGGAAUAUACAAAACAUUUUGAAAAGCUUAUUUUGUGAUGGAACAGUUCAGAAUAUGUAUUAGAAUUCAGCAUCCUAUUCUGUUGCCUUCUUUUAAAACAAAACUAUUCCUGAAUUUUAGAAAGAAAGUCUGGAAGGUCCAACAUAUGCAAACUUUAAAAAGUCAUGGGAACUCUACCACAGCUUGGGCAGUUAAUGACCU